rnacentral:rRNA from 1 species
CAUGCAAGUCGAGCGGAUGAAGGGAGCUUGCUCUCUGAUCCAGCGGCCGACGGGUGAGUAAUGCCUAGGAAUCUGCCUGGUAGUGGGGGACAACGUCUCGAAAGGGACGCUAAUACCGCAUACGUCCUACGGGAGAAAGCAGGGGACCUUCGGGCCUUGCGCUAUCAGAUGAGCCUAGGUCGGAUUAGCUAGUUGGUGGGGUAAUGGCUCACCAAGGCGACGAUCCGUAACUGGUCUGAGAGGAUGAUCAGUCACACUGGAACUGAGACACGGUCCAGACUCCUACGGGAGGCAGCAGUGGGGAAUAUUGGACAAUGGGCGAAAGCCUGAUCCAGCCAUGCCGCGUGUGUGAAGAAGGUCUUCGGAUUGUAAAGCACUUUAAGUUGGGAGGAAGGGUUGUAGAUUAAUACUCUGCAAUUUUGACGUUACCGACAGAAUAAGCACCGGCUAACUCUGUGCCAGCAGCCGCGGUAAUACAGAGGGUGCAACCGUUAAUCGGAAUUACUGGGCGUAAAGCGUGCGUAGACGGCUAUCUAAGUCGGGUGUGAAAGCCCCGGGCUCAACCUGGGAAUUGCAUUCGAGACUGAAUAGCUAGGGUACGGUAGAGGGAAGCGGAAUUUCCGGUGUAGCGGUGAAAUGCGUAGAUAUCGGAAGGAACAUCAGUGGCGAAAGCGGCUUCCUGGACCAGUACCGACGUUCAGCACGAAAGCGUGGGGAGCAAACAGGAUUAGAUACCCUGGUAGUCCACGCCGUAAACGAUGAGAACUAGGUGUUGCGGGUAUUGACCCCUGCAGUGCCGCAGCUAACGCAUUAAGUUCUCCGCCUG